UGUGAAGCAGCUCUUUAAGGUUUUACACUGUACAGCUGCUGCAAGCAGAGAGAGACAAUGAGAGAAAGAGUGAGUGAGAGAAAGCAAAAUAGAGAGAGUGAAAGGAAAUAGGGAGAAGUCAUACCGCUUCUGGCACACAUCGGAUGUUAUUGCAGCAUGUAAACUGGGAAAACACUUAUGCAAUCUGAAUGUUUUGGAAUUUAAAGAGAAAUUUGGCACAGAUUCCAUGAAAAAAUGAAACACUACUACGUCUUCUGGGUCAUGACAGAUAAACCUCAAAGUAAUAAAAUUUCCUCUGAAAAAAACCCACAUGGAUCCUAUUAUCACACAUCUUUUAUGAAGUCUUUUCCAUUUCAAUUUUUAUGUGCAUAAGGUUCAAUGAUAAUUGCUUCAUUAUUUAAAGUAAGUAGUUGCGGAUUAUAAAUAUGACCAUACAUUUUUUUUCUUUCAAACUAAAACAUUGGCAUUGGAAAGUAAAUGUCCAUUAAAGUAAAAAUAUUUAUUGAAAAUAUGAUACAAUUUUUGUUUUAUGUAUUUAUGUUUUUAACAUAAUGUACCUUUAUGGAUUACCAGACAUGUUAACGCAAUGGAAUACUUUAUGUGGCCGAGACAGAA